rnacentral:rRNA from 1 species
UACGUAGGGGGGCAAGCGUUGUCCGGAUUUAUUGGGCGUAAAGAGCUCGUAGGUGGUUCGGUAAGUCGGAUGUGAAAUCUCCAGGCUCAACCUGGAGGGGUCAUUCGAUACUGCCGUGACUAGAGGUCGGUAGGGGAGUGUGGAAUUCCUGGUGGAGCGGUGAAAUGCGCAGAUAUCAGGAGGAACACCGGUGGCGAAGGCGGGUCUCUGGGCCGAUACUGACGCUGAGGAGCGAAAGCGUGGGGAGCGAACAGG